rnacentral:lncRNA from 1 species
AUAGCUCUCUACCUCAAACUUAGUUUUUUUUUUUUAAAUAUUUGUUUAUUUAUUAUAUGUAAGUACACUGUAGCUGUCCUCAGACACUCCAGAAGAGGGAGUCAGAUCUUGUUAAGGAUGGUUGUGAGCCACCAUGUGGUUGCUGGGAUUUGAACUCCUGACCUUCGGAAGAGCAGUCGGGUGCUCUUACCCACUGAGCCAUCUCACCAGCCCUCAAACUUAGUUUUUAAAGGGCCUCACAGAUUUGAAAAGAGAACCCGUUAGCCUCUUGAAAAGAGGCUUUUAGCCUCGAUACUGGCCGGCUGGUCAGGCAGUCCCCACGCUACAAAGAAGAAAACUUCCCUGUGCACACUGGGAACAAUGGCCUGGGCCAGGUCCACAAAGCCUCUUUAACCCACAAUGCAAAGUUGAAAAAAAAAAUGCCGUGAAAUUCUAGGAAGUGCAACCUGGGGGAUGAAUAAGAAACAUAUUUGCCCGAGUAUCUUGAAUGUUGUGAGAGGGAAGGCUUUGAGGCGGUGUGGGGAGAGGGAGCAGGUCGCUGAGGAACCGGGAUGGGUGGAAGCAGAAGGCCACCUCAGCCUCAGCAUCAGCUGACUCGGGGCUCAGCGCAGGACUGGGGUUUGGUCAAGGCCUAGCUGUUUGGGGCAGGUCUCAGCUCGCCUAAGGGAACAUUCCCUUACAGCCCCAAGCUCCUGGAGCAGGCAGAGGCUGAUGCCAAUGUUUGUACUCAUUGAAUCCUAGAAGCUGGAAUGAAUAUGAAAGAAUUAUUCGCAACACCGACAUUUGCAUGGGGAGUGGAGGCAACUCAGGAGCUUUUGUGAGAAACCCCUGUAAGGAAUUCUCCAAGUAUGAACAACUCGACAGACAGCUUUAAAAAGAACGGCUCAGGUGUGAGGGUUGUACCUCAGCCGAGGCUCUCUCUGGCUUUGAUUUGUAGCCCACAAACUAGGAGUGGUGGCCACACACCUGUGAUCCCAGCAUUGGACAGAUGGACGGUCACAAGUCCAAACUUACUCUUCUUUACACAGUAUGUUUAAAGCCAGCGUGGGAUGCAGGAGCCCUGUCCCACAUAACAAUAAACAACAGCAAAAUAAUAGUAACAGUUACAGGUUCAGUUUGUUUUCAUCAACAUUGUUUGCUACAAGGUAAUCCUGAGUGUUUGGUUUUUUUGUUUGUUUGUUUUUUGUUGUUUUUGUUUUUUAAACCCCUUGUUUUUUAUGUGUUUUUUUUUUAAAACUUCUUUAUUUGAUUUUUGUGCUGUUUUGUUUUGUUUUGUUUUUGAGGCAAAAGCUUUUGCUCCAUUGAAAGUCUUCACAAAGCAGGAGCAGUAUCCUAUAUGGGAGACUAAAUAAAAUUCUGAAGUCAUUUUGAGGAAGGACUCUUUUGAGAAGGACCUACCAAUUUGAAAUUAUUCCAGGCAAUACUUUGGAAGCCUGUAUAGAAAUGAAUCGAGACAAAGAAAGUGGACUCAGUUCUCAGUCCGUAAAAGAAGACCUCUCAACAGUUUUCUUUUUUAAACAUAUAUUUUAUUCAUUUUUCUUAUGUGCCUGUGUGUCUGUGUGAGUGGGUAUGUCCAAUGGGAGUGCGGGUGCAGGAAGAGGCUGUCAGAUCCUCUGGAGCAGCAGGCAGUUGGGAACAGCCUGGUUUGGGUGCUGGGAACCGAACUCUGGUCCUCUGCCAGCACACCCAGGACCUGUCGAGACAUCUCUCCAGGCUCCUCAAUUCAGCGUUUUAAAGGUCAUCAAAGAGUUGCCGAGUGUGGUGGUGUUCUUCAGGAGACAGAGACAGGCCCAUCUCAGCGAGCCCAGUUUAAGACAGUGAUACCCUUAUUUUGAAAAGCCCUUAAAGGGGCUGGAGAGAUGGCUCAGUGGUUAAGAGCACUGACUGUUCUUCAAGAAGUCCUGAGUUCAAUUCCCAGCAACCACAUGGUGGCUCACAACCAUCUGUAAUGAGAUCUGAUACCCUCUUCUGGUGUGUCUGAAGAUAGCCACAGUGUACUCAUAUGCAUAAAAUAAAUAAAUAAAUCUUUUAAAAGCAAUAUUUUUUAAAUUAAAGAUUAUUUUAUGUAAUGGUGAGUUACUUUGGGAAGGUUGUGGAAUUCUGAGGAGGCGGAAGCUUGUUAGAGGAAAUGAGUCCCUGGAGGAGGGCCCUGAGGCUAUAUAGCCUGGCCCUACUUCCUGUUUUGUGUUCUACUUCUUGAAUGUGGAUGCCAGCCAACCUCUAGCACCUGCCACCAUGCCUUACCUGCCCACUGCCAUGUUUUUCCCACCAGGAGGGACCUCCAGAAUUGUAAGGCAAAAUAAACCAUUUUACCCCUUGAUGUUGUUUUGGUAUGGAAUUGUGUCACAGCAGUGACAGUAACUAUGACAACUACAGACAUUUGACUUUUUCUGUGUACAUCCCCCAAAGUUAAUAUUCCCAGCCAGGCUAAUUAAGGCAGGAUGAUGAUAGGGGUCAAAUUCUAUAUGCCACCUCUCUGUUUUGGGGCACAGAUGUCUUGUUUCAAUAGUAGUCUGUUUCUGAAAGAUUCAAAGCCCACUGGAGGAGGGCAGGCUCUGGGCUAUCACAGUGGCUAUGCCCUCUGGGGAGUCACUUGUCUCACUGUGUCUCAGUUUUAUCAACUGGAAAAAAAAUCAGAAGCAAUCACAUUUCUUCAAGUCAUUUUAAAACUCAUUUUUAUUAGAAAUAUGCAGAUUCAACUACUAAUGUAUAUUCUCAGCAGGAAGCGGAGCCUGGCCGAUUCCACACCGAUAUUAAUUUAAUAUCAUUUUAGAUGUUAUUAAUGGUAGCUUUGCCUUUGCAUUUUGUAUGUACCUCUGGCUUAUUUUUCAGUUUUAUUUGAUAUAAGUUCUUUCUGUGUAAUUGUGCUGGCCUGGAGCCUCAGCCUUCUGGGUUACAUAUGGCUACCACUGUGUACAUCCUGCAACUGUAUU